UGGAGCGACGAACCAGGGGCUUGCCCCUGGGGCAGAGCCGCGAACGGGUGAGUAACACGUGGGCAACCUGCCCCGAUGACCGGGACAACCCGAGGAAACUCGGGCUAAUACCGGAUGUGCUCCCGCCACACCAGUGGCGUGAGGAAAAGAAGCUUCGGCCUCCGCAUCGGGAUGGGCCCGCGGCCCAUUAGCUUGUUGGUGGGGUAACGGCCUACCAAGGCGACGAUGGGUAGCUGGUCUGAGAGGACGAUCAGCCACACUGGGACUGAGACACGGCCCAGACUCCUACGGGAGGCAGCAGUGGGGAAUCUUGCGCAAUGCGCGAAAGCGUGACGCAGCAACGCCGCGUGGGGGAAGACGGCCUUCGGGUUGUAAACCCCUUUCAGUUGGGACGAAGUCCGGUCGGUGAACAGCCGCGCCGGGUGACGGUACCUUCAGAACAAGCCCCGGCCAACUACGUGCCAGCAGCCGCGGUAAUACGUAGGGGGCAAGCGUUGUCCGGAAUCAUUGGGCGUAAAGCGCGUGUGGCGGCUCGGUAAGUCCGCUCUGAAAGCCCGGGGCUCAACCCCGGGAGGCGGGCGGAUACUGCCGAGCUCGAAUCCCGGAA
rnacentral:rRNA from 1 species